AAGAAAAAAAAAAAAAGGAAGAGAGAAACCGUGAGAGAGAGAGAGAGAGAGAGGGGGAGGUGCUGGAAAUUCAACAAGGAGUCGAAAUUUUGAAGGAAGAAAGGAAAAUUUACCAAACAUGCUGGAAAUAAGUUUUAGGUCACGCGCCAUUGUCUGCCUGAUUUAUCCGAUAUGUCCAGUCCGUCUGAUUUGCUUCUGCGGCUAUCAGUGAUCAGGCGCGUGACCAGGCUUAGAGGCAUCUGCCUAGAAUCUGUUUUUGUCAGCCAACCUAUGUGCCUCCAGUGGAGGUUCUGGAUAUGUCAAGUGAUUGUCGCUAAGUGAUUUAAAGUUUAAGUUCUGUUUUCUUGUUUGGUUAAACAAGUCUUGUGUAUUUUUGUAAAUGGGGCUAAGUCGCUUUUUGUCUAAUCUGUAUAUAUAGGAUGAC